rnacentral:rRNA from 1 species
CCUACGGGAUGCAGCAGUGGGGGAUAUUGCACAAUGGGGGAAACCCUGAUGCAGCGACGCCGCGUGGGUGAAGAAGCGCCUCGGCGCGUAAAGCCCUGUCAGCAGGGAAGAAAAUGACGGUACCUGAAGAAGAAGCCCCGGCUAACUACGUGCCAGCAGCCGCGGUAAUACGUAGGGGGCAAGCGUUAUCCGGAUUUACUGGGUGUAAAGGGGGCGCAGACGGCGAUGCAAGCCAGGAGUGAAAGCCCGGGGCCCAACCCCGGGACUGCUCUUGGAACUGCGUGGCUAGAGUGCAGGAGGGGCAGGCGGAAUGCCGGGUGUAGCGGUGAAAUGCGUAGAUAUCAGGAGGAACACCGGUGGCGAAGGCGGCCUGCUGGACUGCAACUGACGUUGAGGCCCGAAAGCGUGGGGAGCAAACAGGAUUAGAUACCCCAGUAGUC